AAGCGGGUGGAGCAUGUGGUUUAAUUCGAAGCAACGCGAAGAACCCUUACCAGGUCUUGACAUCCUGUGCUACACCUAGAGAUAGGUGGUUCCCUUCGGGGACGCAGAGACAGGUGGUGCAUGGCUGUCGUCAGCUCGUGUCGUGAGAUGUUGGGUUAAGUCCCGCAACGAGCGCAACCCUUGUCUUUAGUUGCCAUCAUUAAGUUGGGCACUCUAAAGAGACUGCCGGUGACAAACCGGAGGAAGGUGGGGAUGACGUCAAGUCAUCAUGCCCCUUAUGACCUGGGCUACACACGUGCUACAAUGGGCAGUACAACGAGAAGCGAACCCGCGAGGGUAAGCGGAUCUCUUAAAGCUGUUCUCAGUUCGGACUGCAGGCUGCAACUCGCCUGCACGAAGCUGGAAUCGCUAGUAAUCGCGGAUCAGCACGCCGCGGUGAAUACGUUCCCGGGCCUUGUACACACCGCCCGUCACACCAUGGAAGUCUGCAAUGCCCAAAGUGCGGUGGGAUAACCUUUAUAGGAGUCAGCCGCUAAGGCAGGGC
rnacentral:rRNA from 1 species